rnacentral:rRNA from 1 species
UACGAAGGGGGCUAGCGUUGCUCGGAAUGACUGGGCGUAAAGGGCGCGUAGGCGGAUGGCUUUGUCGGGCGUGAAAUUCCAGGGCUUAACCUUGGGGCUGCGUUCGAGACGGGUUGUCUUGAGUGGGGAAGAGGGUCGUGGAAUUCCCAGUGUAGAGGUGAAAUUCGUGAGAUAUUGGGAAGAACACCGGUGGCGAAGGCGGCGACC